GUGUAACUCAAAAGUGUACCAUUACGACGUGCCAUACUUGGAUAAAUUUCACAAAGAUGACGUCCUUCAGGAAAGACUAUUAGAGUUAAGAAAAUGCCAAAUUUGAUUUCCAUUGCAAAAGUGACCUUUAUUGCCACAUCUUCAAAGUGAUCGCAAAGCAGGACUGGUGGACCAAAAGUAGCUUAACAACAACACAUCACAGAAAUGACCAUCUCAACAACGCAAUAGAAGUUCAGAGGACCUAUAAAGAUUCAAUACCUGCAGGAUCAUAACCUUCUAGAGUUUCAUGUACGCAAUGGCUAAAUGCUAGAACUUGCUGCCAAGUAUCUUCGGAGAUGUUGUAUCGCUGGUUUUUCU